GGGAAUUAGGUUUUGGGACUUGGCUGCCUGAGUUUUAUUUGAUGGUUCUUGAGGCCCACUUGUCAGCGCUUUUUUUCUGUGGGUCUGUGUGAAAACCUAUAAAAAUAACACAAUUUUUCUGUGGGUAUAAGUAACCCCGUCAAGAAAAUUAAUAUUCCUGUGAGUUGGCCGCGGAACCUACAGGAAAUCUAGCGGCCCACAGGGUAGCUCUCAAGUCUGGUAGUGACGGGAUGAUCUUGAUGUUUCAUGGUGCCCGUAUCAAGCAACUACUUCGUACUGUUGUGCAUCUUAGGAAUCCAAGCAAUUAAUCCUCCAACAUCUACAGUUCUACGCCAUCGUCGUUGGCUCGUUGUGUGCGUGGGCAGCAUAGUACGUGUCCAGUUGUAAACCACUCAUAUAAAGUGACAGACUACCUAAGUAAAGUGACAGGCUACCUAAGUUUAGUAUAGUGAACACCAUAGUUGGAAAAAGUGUUUCGUCCCUUAAAAAUAUUUAUUUUCACAAUUUUAUUAUUUUUUAAAUUUAUAUAUGUAUUAAAUUUGUGGAGUGAUAUAUCCCAUAUGAUAUCUAUUGAUAUUUUUUUUAUAAAAAAGUUAUGUCACCAUUCCGGUGGCAUGAGUCCGAUAAGAGCAGUGGAGAUGUAUUUUUAUCUCUUAUUAGGUCUUGUUUUCCCGUAAAGGAGGGAUUUGAAGGAGAUUUGUUCCAUAUCUAUUAGUAGAUAUUCAAGUACGUUGUGUUUCACUGUGCGCGGUAAUCAUUAGUGGAGGAUGGAUACCGCCACACUUGUUGUACUCUUGUACUUGUAACAUCAUUUUCUCGUAACAGAGAUGCAGAUCGCUCAUGCUCCACCAACCAUAAUUCCGUGCAAAGAAAAAAAAAGAUAGGCUAGUCCUAACUUCUGAAUAUUACGUCUAAGAAUGAGACUUUGAUUAAUUAAUCUUUUGAAAUUUCGACCACCAAUCUAUUAUAAUAUUAAAACAGUCUUAGAGGCACCACGUUUAUUGUGUAGGCUAAAAAUAGAAAUACAAUUUAAAAAUAAUUGAAAUUCAGAAUAUAAUAAAGAAUAUUAAAAGAAUAAUCUAUGUUGUGAAGAUGUUGCGGUUUUCGCUGGCGGCGUAAUUAAUACACCGUCAACGAAGAUGGCAGAUCUUCACUGGCUCGUCUAUUUUACAUGCGGUCCACUUACUCGACCGCUUCUAAAAAUAACUUUUCACUACCUAUACAGCUGCCCGGAAAAAAAUUACUUCGCGCUAUAAAAAAAAAUCCUCUCCACCCUUAUCCUUAUCCCUUCACUCCUCACCACCCACUCAUCCAUUCCUCCCAUCUUCUCUCGAGCGCUGCAGAGGGGCACGAGCCGUGCCGUGGGUUAUGGAUCCGUCCUCCGGAGGGGCGCGGCCGACGGUUCUGGCGGCAGGAGGCAUCUUGGACAAUGACAGCGAGUGGGUGGCGAGGCUCCUGGCGGCUGAACUCGGGCGAGGCAGCAGGUCGACGGCGAAGCUAGGUCGGCGGCCACUGUGAGGAGACGAGUCUCCCACAGGCCACAGCAAAACGGAUCCAGAUGCCUCCGUUCCCCUCGUGUUUGUUCAGGUUUAGGAUGCUUUGUUUUUUUUUUUUUGAGUGAUCUGCUUUGUUUGGAAGCCAGGCCAUGUUCAGAACUUCGUUCCCCUCGUGUUUGUUCAGGAUAAUUUGUUUGGAAGCCAGGCCACGUUCAGAACUUUUUUACUUCUGUGACCAGGAUCGAUUCUAUAUCCAACGGUUGGUUUUUUUUUUUUA